AGCUCCAAUAGCGUAUAUUAAAGUUGCUGCAGUUAAAAAGCUCGUAGUUGGAUUUGUGGGAUGGCCGUCCGGCGGGGGGCCAUUUAUUGGUCCCGUUUGUCCUGGUUUUCGGCCUUCCCUUUCUCGGGUCUAGCGUAUUGGCUGGCAUUAGGUUGUCGGCCGCUUCGCGCCCGUCGUUUACUUUGAAGAAAUUAGAGUGUUCCAGGCAGGCUUUGCUUGAAUACAUCAGCAUGGAAUAAUGGAAUAGGACAGGUCAAUUUUAUUGGUUAUUUGGCUUGUAAUGAUUAACAGGGACAGUUGGGGGCGUUUGUAUUCAAUAGUCAGAGGUGAAAUUCUUGGAUUUGUUGAAGACAAACUAAUGCGAAAGCAUUCGCCAAGGAUGUUUUCAUUAAUCAAGAAC
rnacentral:rRNA from 1 species